UAGUAAUAUGCUCAGGGCCAUUUAAUUUUUUGUCUUAUUUUUUCUGACUUUUUUUUCACAGUUAUCACAUGUGAUUUUUUUCUGUUACUGAGCAUAUCUCUAAAAGCCUACGUUCUUUCUAAAUUAUGACUGCUAACCUAUUAACACUAUAAAAACCAGGUAACCCAGUUUCUUCGAAUUGCUUGUAGGUAAAGUAUAAAUAGGCCCUGUUUAAAGAUUUAAAUGUUUUUUUAAAAAAAAAUGCAAAAUGAAAAAAUAUAUUAAUGUAUUUUCUUUUGAGGGUAUUGUCAAGGAAUAAAAUGCUGUUCAUUGAAAUUAAAUGCUUUUCAAAUCUGAAAAAAAUGUUUUUCAUUUUAAUAAGUUAUAAAAACUUUAAUUCUACAGAUUUGGGGGACUUUUGAUGGUUACAGGGGGUCUUUUUUUUAAAUUUUUUUAUUUUUAAAAAUUUUACUGAAUUAUAGCUGAUCUACAAUGUUGUGAUAAUUUUGCUAUAAAACAUAGUUUCAGCUAUGCAUGUACACAUCUCCCUUCCUUUUCAGAUUCUUUUCACAUGUAGGUUAUCACAGACUUAUUGGGCCAAGUCCCCUGUGCAGUUCCCCGUUCCAUAUACCACAGUGUGCAUAUGCCAAUCCCAUACAGGAAUCUCUGUUAAUUAAAGUCAUCAAAUAAAGUGAUAUGUCCCAAAACUUGGUUGUUUAUGUUAAUGAUGCAGAGAAAGAUUCCAUGAAAAACCACAUUUGUGUUCCAAACAUCUCUCUAGUCAUUCCUCGGAAACCAGAGUAUUUAAAGAAUGUACUGACUCAGUUUCUUCAACUGAGUGCUUAGGCUAGUAAUAACUGUGCUGUGUGAUUUAGAGCUUCUCAGAAUUAUUGCGAAACAGGGUAUUUAGAAGAAUAUUUAAGCUUUUUUUUUUUUUUGUCUUUUGCCUUUUCUUGGGCCACUCCCGCGGCAUAUGGAGGUUCCCAGGCUAGGGGUCCAAUCAGAGCUGUAGCCGCUGGCCUACACAACAGCCACAGCAAUGCCAGAUCUGCCGUGUCUGCAACCUACACCACAGCUCACGGCAACGCCGGAUCCUCAACCCACUGAGCAAGGCCAGGGAUCGAACCCGCAACCCUAUGGUUCCUUGUCGGAUUCGUCAACCACUGAGCCACGACAGGAACUCCGAGUAUUUAAGCUUUUCAUUGUGGUAUCAAACCAGAGAUAAAAAUAAUAAUAAAAGCCAGUCUUCGUUGAGUAAAUUUUACUUAAAGUACCUCAAACACCCUCACUAUUCCAGGACCUCGUGGAUUAACUCCUGUAACCCUUACAGUAAUACUCUUAAGUAUCAUACUGUUGUUGCUGGCUCCAUUCCCCAUUGGACACUUUUGGAAGCUGAGGAUCUGAGAGGUUAAGUCUUUUUUCCCAACAGGAUUAGUCACAGAGUAGUAAGGAAAGCAGCCAGGUUUCAUCUCCUCCCCCAAAUCAGCCUGGCGCAGAGCCUGUGCUCCUAACCACUUUAGUGACCCUGCCUCCUGUGAGCUGGGCAGAGAACAGAAAAAAACAGGCCUUGGACAGUUUCCCCCCUGGGGUUUUUGUUCUCAGCCGUUGUAUCCCCAGGGCUGCCAGAGAGUAUAUAAAGUCACAGGUUGAGAAUAAUGCUUUUCCCGGAGCAUCAUUUAUUUUUUAGAUUCCAGUUGCAUGGAAGUGGAUUAAUCAUAAUCCCUGGCUCAUGGCACUCUUUCAUUGUUGGCCCAUGAAUGGUUAGUUUUUUAAUGCAAUAAAUUCCCAUAUACCCGCCACCAGCCCUAAAACUGGAAUUGUGGUGGUAAUCUUCAUCUACCUAGUGGUCAUCCCCUCUUCUAGCUCCCUUCUUGCCCAGCUAGAGAUAACCAUCAUCCUGAAUUCUCCUUUCAUCAAUCCCUUGCUCUCUCUCUUUUCUUUUUAUGGCCACACCUGUGGCAUACAGGUCAGGGUUGAAUCGAGCUGCAGCUGCAGACUUACACUGCAGCCGUGGCAACACUGGAUCUGAGCCAUUUCUGAAACCAUUACAGCUUGAAGCAACGCUGAAUCCUUGCUUAACCCACUGAGCCAGGCCAGGAGUUGAACUGGCACCCUCACAGUGACAGUGUUGCUUCCUUGACCUGCUGAGCCACAAUGGAAACUCCCCCUUUCUCUCACUUUUAUACAUAAUUUUGUACUUGUGUGUAUUUCUAAAAAGUAUUUACUAUUCUCUAACUUUUAUACAUAAUUUUGUACUUGCGUGUAUUUCUCUCACUUUUAUACAUAAUUUUGUACUUGUGUGUAUUUCUAAAAAGUAUUUAUUAUUAUUGUCUUUUUUUUUUUUUUUACUUUUUAAAAGAUAUAUCAUGCUCUGUAUAAUCUGUUCGAAUUUAUUUACCCCUCCUAUAUCAGGUUGCUAAGAUUCAUCUAUGUUGUUGUCUGAUGCUGCAAAAUAUUCCCUUUGGCUCUAUAUAAUAUUUCCUGUGAAUAUACCACACUCCAUUCGUUCAUUCUGUUGAUGAGCAUUUAGCCUUCUUUCUAAGUUUUUGCCAUAGUGAACAUGACUUCUAGGAACUUUCUUCUACAUGUCACCUAUUGAUCACAUGUAAGAGCUUCUUAAAUACACACACAUGCACACAUCAUACACCUAGGAGAAGAAUUGCUGGAUUAUAGGGUAUGCGAUUGUUCGACUUCAUAACUCAAUGCCAAACUUUUUCCAAAGUAAUUGUAUCAAUUUAUACUCCCAUCAGCUGAGUAUGAGAAAUCCUAUGAAACAAAUAUUCUUUUUAACACUUGAUACUAUCAGAUUUAAAAAUUUUUGACAGUUGAAUGUAAAAGAAUCUCUCUUAAUUUGCAUCUCCCUGAUCACUAAUGAAGUUGUGUCUCUGUAUAUUCCUUGGCCUUGUUUCUACUUUUGAAAUACCCGUAUUACCUGUGAAAUACCCAUCUUUUGCCAUUACUUUUAUGUUAAAUGGUGUCUUUAUACACAGUGCUGUUUACAUGGAUUUUAAAAAUACUAUCUGAGAGUUGAAAAAAAUGGGGCUUUUAUGAGGUUCCCCACGAAUGCUCAUUGACUUCUUGCCUGAUAGUGGUGGUUCAGUUGAAAAGGUUGUGAGCAGCUAAGAGUUGGCAGGUGUAGAUUAGGAGCAAAUGAAUCAGAUUAAGGAGGGGAGUGAGUUUUUCUCGUUUGAGGCCUGUGGAGUGUUGAAAGGUUAACGUGACUCACAGGAAAUCUCUCUUACGCCGCCGCCGCCGUUUCCCUUCCAGGCCAGGUCCCCAGGAACUUUCUAAUUCAAACCUAGAGUCCUGUUUUCUUUUGGUGCCUCUUUGGUGUUUAAAUAGUAUAUUAGUUUGAUUGUUAGCAGAGAAACCAGCUUACCACUGUCGGAGGUGAAAAAGGAUUUAUGACUUCACAGAAUUCAGGGAGGGUUAAAGGGCCAGACCGCAAGAGCAGAGAAGGGGCUGGAGCCAGGAACCCAAACCACAGUGGGAUUCUCUCUGCCUGUCUCUUUAUUUGUGCUUUACCGUCGCUAUCUAUUUCAUUCUUCUAACUGCAGACCAGUUGAUUGUCUUUGGUUGAAAAUUAGAUUUUACAGUUUAAACCACACGAAGCAGACAAAAACCCCCAAAGAAACAGACCAAACAAACAAAACCGUCAAGUUUCGAAAUCUGUAUUUUUGUUUCUGUAAUCCACAAGGGAUGUACUUUUAGAUUUUCCAAAUGGUUGGGGAAAAAAAAAAA
rnacentral:lncRNA from 1 species